rnacentral:rRNA from 3 species
GAAACAGUUGCUAAGACAGGAUAGGAAAUUAAGAGGCAUCUUUUAAUUUUUAAAAGACCUUUUUCGAAAGGUAUACUUAAAGAGGGGCUUGCGCCACAUUAGUUAGUUGGUAAGGUAAAGGCUUACCAAGACGAUGAUGUGUAGCUGGACUGAGAGGUCGAACAGCCACAUUGGGACUGAGACACGGCCCAAACUCCUACGGGAGGCAGCAGUAAGGAAUUUUUGGCAAUGGAGGAAACUCUGACCGAGCGACGUCGCGUGAACAAUGAAGUACUUCGGUAUGUAAAGUUCUUUUAUUGAAAAAGAAAAAAUAGUGGAAAAACUAUCUUGACAUUAUUCAAUGAAUAAGCCCCGGCUAAUUAUGUGCCAGCAGCCGCGGUAAUACAUAAGGGGCGAGCGUUAUCCGGAAUUAUUGGGCGUAAAGGGUGCGUAGGCGGUUUGAUAAGUCUAUAGUUUAAAUGCAGUGCUUAACGCUGUAGCGCUAUAGAAACUGUCUGACUAGAGUUAGAUAGAGGCAAGCGGAAUUCCAUGUGUAGCGGUAAAAUGCGUAAAUAUAUGGAGGAACACCAGAGGCGUAGGCGGCUUGCUGGGUCUUAACUGACGCUGAGGCACGAAAGCGUGGGGAGCAAACAGGAUUAGAUACCCUGGUAGUCCACGCCGUAAACGAUGAGUACUAAGUGUCGGGUUUCGGCUCGGUACUGAAGUUAACACAUUAAGUACUCCGCCUGAGUAGUACGUACGCAAGUAUGAAACUUAAAGGAAUUGACGGGACCCCGCACAAGCGGUGGAUCAUGUUGUUUAAUUCGAAGAUACACGAAAAACCUUACCAGGUCUUGACAUAAUUUUGCGACAUUAUAGAAAUAUAAUGAAGGUUAUCAGAAUUACAGGUGGUGCAUGGUUGUCGUCAGCUCGUGUCGUGAGAUGUUAGGUUAAGUCCUAAAACGAGCGCAACCCUUGUCGUUAGUUGCGACCACGUAAUGGUGAGCACUUUAGCGAGACUGCCAAUGAAAAAUUGGAGGAAGGUGAGGAUUACGUCAAAUCAUCAUGCCCCUUAUGAUCUGGGCUACAAACGUGAUACAAUGGCUGUUACAAAGAGUAGCUACAACGUGAGUUUUUAGCCAAUCUCAAAAAAACAGUCUCAGUUCGGAUUGAAGUCUGCAACUCGACUUCAUGAAGUUGGAAUCGCUAGUAAUCGCGAAUCAGCAUGUCGCGGUGAAUACGUUCUCGGGGUUUGUACACACCGCCCGUCA